rfam:Candidate division NC10 bacterium RIFCSPLOWO2_02_FTLL_66_22 rifcsplowo2_02_scaffold_3883, whole genome shotgun sequence.
UGUCCGGUGAAAGUCCGGACGAUUGGAGGUUUCCCGUUCACCAAUCUAGCCUGACCCUCAUCCGCGUGCCGUGAGGCAGGCGGACAAAAGCGAGGGUGACAAAGUCCUCAGAAGGCAAAGGGAGGCAGUGAGCUCCCCGCGUCGGAGCCAGCCAGGAGGGCGAGGCAAACCUGCGGGCCGCAGCAUAA